GACGAACGCUGGCGGCGUGCUUAACACAUGCAAGUCGAACGGAAAGGCCCUGCUUUUGUGGGGUGCUCGAGUGGCGAACGGGUGAGUAACACGUGAGUAACCUGCCCUUGACUUUGGGAUAACUUCAGGAAACUGGGGCUAAUACCGGAUAGGAGCUCCUGCUGCAUGGUGGGGGUUGGAAAGUUUCGGCGGUUGGGGAUGGACUCGCGGCUUAUCAGCUUGUUGGUGGGGUAGUGGCUUACCAAGGCUUUGACGGGUAGCCGGCCUGAGAGGGUGACCGGCCACAUUGGGACUGAGAUACGGCCCAGACUCCUACGGGAGGCAGCAGUGGGGAAUAUUGCACAAUGGGCGGAAGCCUGAUGCAGCAACGCCGCGUGCGAGAUGACGGCCUUCGGGUUGUAAACCGCUUUCGCCUGUGACGAAGCGUGAGUGACGGUAAUGGGUAAAGAAGCACCGGCUAACUACGUGCCAGCAGCCGCGGUGAUACGUAGGGUGCGAGCGUUGUCCGGAUUUAUUGGGCGUAAAGGGCUCGUAGGUGGUUGAUCGCGUCGGAAGUGUAAUCUUGGGGCUUAACCCUGAGCGUGCUUUCGAUACGGGUUGACUUGAGGAAGGUAGGGGAGGAUGGAAUUCCUGGUGGAGCGGUGGAAUGCGCAGAUAUCAGGAGGAACACCAGUGGCGAAGGCGGUUCUCUGGGCCUUUCCUGACGCUGAGGAGCGAAAGCGUGGGGAGCGAACAGGCUUAGAUACCCUGGUAGUCCACGCUGUAAACGGUGGGUACUAGGUGUGGGGUCCAUUCCACGGGUUCCGUGCCGUAGCUAACGCUUUAAGUACCCCGCCUGGGGAGUACGGCCGCAAGGCUAAAACUCAAAGGAAUUGACGGGGCCCCGCACAAGCGGCGGAGCAUGCGGAUUAAUUCGAUGCAACGCGUAGAACCUUACCUGGGUUUGACAUGGAUCGGGAGUGCUCAGAGAUGGGUGUGCCUCUUUUGGGGUCGGUUCACAGGUGGUGCAUGGCUGUCGUCAGCUCGUGUCGUGAGAUGUUGGGUUAAGUCCCGCAACGAGCGCAACCCUUGUUCACUGUUGCCAGCACGUUAUGGUGGGGACUCAGUGGAGACCGCCGGGGUCAACUCGGAGGAAGGUGGGGAUGACGUCAAGUCAUCAUGCCCCUUAUGUCCAGGGCUUCACGCAUGCUACAAUGGCUGGUACAGAGAGUGGCGAGCCUGUGAGGGUGAGCGAAUCUCGGAAAGCCGGUCUCAGUUCGGAUUGGGGUCUGCAACUCGACCUCAUGAAGUCGGAGUCGCUAGUAAUCGCAGAUCAGCAACGCUGCGGUGAAUACGUUCCCGGGGCU
rnacentral:rRNA from 1 species